GGACUACUGGGGUAUCUAAUCCUGUUUGAUCCCCACGCUUUCGUGCCUCAGCGUCAGUUACAGUUUAGCGAGCUGCCUUCGCAAUUGGUGUUCUGUGUCAUAUCUAUGCAUUUCACCGCUACAUGACACAUUCCGCCCGCUUCAAAUGUACUCAAUCCUGAUAGUUUUACGGCCAGUUUCCUUGUUGAGCAAGGAGAUUUCAACCGUAACUUUCCAGGACGCCUACGCACCCUUUAAACCCAAUAAAUCCGGAUAACGCUCGGGUCCUUCGUAUUACCGCGGCUGCUGGCAC
rnacentral:rRNA from 2 species